GAUGAACGCUGGCGGCGUGCUUUACACAUGCAAGUCGAGCGAAAACACGCGGUGCUUGCCUCUCGAGUGUCGCAGGGGUGCGUAAUGCAACGGAACGUACCCCGAGGUUUUAGAUAACGCAUCGAUAGGGGUACUAGUACCUCAUGUGGUCUAAGGAUUAAAGCGGGGGGCUGAGCAGCAAAAUUUGGCCUUGCGCCUUUGUAUCGGCCGAUGCCGCAUUAGCUAGUUGGUUGGGUAACGGCUUACCAAGGCGACGAUGCGUAGCCGACCUGAGAGGGUGAUCGGCCACACUGGAACUGAGACACGGUCCAGACUCCUACGGGAGGCAGCAGUAGGGAAUCUUCCGCAAUGGGCGAAAGCCUGACGGAGCAACGCCGCGUGAGUGAUGAAGGUCUUCGGAUCGUAAAACUCUUUUAGUAGGGAAGAACAAGUGUGUGAGAAACUAUGCAGGUCUUGACGGUACCUGAUCAGAAAGCCACGGCUAACUACGUG
rnacentral:rRNA from 1 species